rnacentral:rRNA from 1 species
GGUCAGCGGCGGACGGGUGAGUAACACGUGGGUAACCUGCCUGUAAGACUGGGAUAACUCCGGGAAACCGGGGCUAAUACCGGAUGCUUGAUUGAACCGCAUGGUUCAAUUCUUAAAGGGGGCUUUUAACUUCCCGUUUGCUAUGGACCCCCGGCGCCUUUUCUUUUUGGUGAGGUAACGGCUCCCCCAAGGCUCAAUGCGUAGCCGACCUGAAAGGGUGGUCGGCCACCCUGGGACUGAAACACGGCCCAGACUCCUACGGGAGGCUACAGAGGGAAUCUUCCCCAAUGGACAAAAGUCUGACGGGGCAACGCCGGAGGGGUGAUGAAGGUUUUCGGAUCCUAAAACUCUGGUGUUAAGGAAGAACAAGUACCGAUCGAAUAGGGGGGGACCUUGACGGUUCCUAACCCAAAAGCCGCGGGUAACUACGUGCCAACAGCCGCGGUAAUACGUAGGUGGUAAUCGUUGUCCGGAAUUAUUGGGCGUUAAUGGCGCGCAGGCGGGUUCUUAAGUCUGAUGUGAAAUCCCCCGGCUCAACCGGGGAGGGUCAUUGGAAACUGGGGAACUUGAGUGGAGAAGAGGACAGCGGAAUUCCACGUGUAGCGCUGAAAUGCGUAGAGAUGUGGAGGAACAACGGUGGCGAAGGUGGACUCUCUGGUGUGUUACUGACGCUGAGGCACGAAGAGGGGAGGAAGCAACAUCGAUUAGAUACCCUGGUAGUACCACCGCCGUACAACCAUGAGUAGACUAAAUGAUAGAAGGGAUGUGCAUCCCUUUUCUCGUCUGCUUGCUAUAGCGCA